rnacentral:snRNA from 1 species
AAAUCUUUCUACAGGGAAAA